GAACGUGUGGUCUAGUGGUAAAGACAACAGGCUUGUGUCAUGUACCAGCUAAGGUUCAAGUCCUAAUGAAGUCC